rnacentral:misc_RNA from 1 species
UCCGGCUUAACGCCGGCAGUCUCCCUAGAGUGCCCAACUCAAUGGUGGCAACUAAGGACGAGGGUUGCGCUCGUUGCGGGACUUAACCCAACACCUCACGGCACGAGCUGACGACAGCCAUGCAGCACCUGAACCAGCGGUCCCCGAAGGGAAAGUCCUAUUUCUAGGACGGUCCGCUGUUGUCUAGUCCAGGUAAGGUUCUUCGCGUUGCGUCGAAUUGAACCACAUGCUCCACCGCUUGUGCAGGCCCCCGUCAAUUUCUUUGAGUUUUAACCUUGCGGCCGUACUCCCCAGGCGGAUGACUUAUCGCGUUAGCUGCGCCACCGAAUUCCAGAUGAAUCCAACGGCUAGUUCUCAUCGUUUACGGCGUGGACUAC